AAUCCAAAUUAUGUAUAAAACAAUUUUGUACAUUCAUAAAACACGUUAGGUCGGUGUUAGAAAUAACCGGGUCGGUCGGGCUACCGGAAACGCAACAUUUUUAAGGCCUAAAUAUGCACUCUAGACUUGAAUGUAGCUGACAUCAUUUUCUGUAUUUCGUAAAGUAAUGGAUAUGCACUUUCAAUGGUACUUAACGUUCGCCUCUUCACUUAGAGAAAUAUUCAAUAACAGGAUGCAGUAUGCAGUUCACUUAUUCACGACUUAAACUGUUAUCGUGAUGGAAAAAUAAUUGGCCCACUUGUCCUAUAAAAAACAACUUCAGUGUGCGAUUGUGACUUAAUAGAGUGGUUCAUAAAACAAGUCGAAAUCUUAAAAAACGCGUUUAUAAGGUAUUUUAUAAAAAUAAGGCUACCGUUUCCUACUGCACUAAAAGAAAGCUGAAAAUGUCUAAGUGCACAGUACUUAUAUUAUUUUUGGUGCUAAGUGAAGUUAUUAAUAUAAGAUCUCAAGCCUGUGUAUGGGUUGGUAAUCGCUGUUAUGAUGUCGGCGGUGGUUGUUCUACGAGUGGGCCCAGUCGCAGAUGUACUCGGUUUCGUACCCAAUGUCGGUGCGGUUAUCGUUGGAUCAUCAAUGCAGACUAGCAACGGAGUGUAAACGGGCUUACCUAACAAUUAAAAUGCUAUAUCUUAAAACUGGAUUAUUUAAAUGAUAUACUAUUGCUCUUAAAUAGUGUAGCGUAAAAAAGCUUACAAGAUGCAAUAAACAAAAUACACUUAACAGAAUACGAAGAUAGGAAGGUUAUUAUACUUCGUAAAUGAAGUGUAAGAAGCACAAUCAAAGUGAACAUUCUUUGUUAUUGUUCGAUAGAUAUAGAUGCAAUGAAUGUUAUUCCAUAAACGAUUCAAAUACAAAAUGACUUCCAUGAAGUGAACAACAGAACAAAGCAGCCAUGUCUUGUUAUGUUUAUAUAUGUCGAGUAAUAUGCUUAACUUAGUCUGCAAGUGCAAUGCAUUAAAGCGGCCUUCAGCUUUUCUAAAUGUUGACUAUGUUAAUUUGAGAUAGUUUAUAAACUCGUUUCAUAUAUUUGUCAAAUCAAAAGAAUUAACGUUAAAAACGAAAUUUACUGUCGAUAAUAUAUGAAGAAACCUCACAGAAUUGUUUUUAAAGCAGUUAUAUUACAUAUUCAUAUUGCUUUGUUUUAACGUUUGUUAACAUUAUUCUUAAAAGCGCUUCAAUAAAAACUGUAUUUUUUAAAAAUUUUG